GCGGGUGUAACUCAGUUGGUAGAGUAUUUGCUUCCCAAGCAAAAUGCCGCGGGUCCGAGUCCCGUCACCCGCU
rnacentral:tRNA from 1 species